AUAGAGGUGACUCAAGUGGUGCCCGCAGUGUACAACAGAAUCUGUCAAUGGCUAGACAUCUUCAGCAGCGCUUCUGACAACUAGAGGUAAAAUUUUGACGCCCCAAAUCGCGUGGGACCGCACUUGGGGCUCAGAACUUGAUUCGCAUGUGAAAGUCUGUGAGGAAGGAGCUGUCAGACCCUACAAUGCAAUCAUCACUCUACUUGGAAAUGGCGAAGAAUUUUAUCUUAAUCAAACACGAAAUCAAGUCUCCUCUUUCUCUCUCUCGCCGUUCUAAUAUUUCUCUAGGUCGAGCUAACCUUGGCCCUUACCUGAGACUACUCCCCACUGUCCCAGCAUUGCUUCCUUCAACGCCUAAAGCUAAGUCGUCAUGAAAAGAAGUCCUGCCACCUGUUUCUCCAGACGCCCAAUUGCCUUCUCCUGCAUCCCAAAGCCCUCUAUCUCAUAACUUUGGGCACGGUCUCGAUCUCGAUCCCGUUCUUGGUCUUGUCCGUUUCCUGGACCUAAGACUGAUGAAGAUCCUCCAUAAACAUGAGUGGAUGAGUUGUGGGCACUUGCUGUUGGUGUCGAUGUGGAUGCAGACAUUGCUGUGGUAGCUGCUGCAGUUCGAGCCUCAGCAACCACUUCAAUUCAGAAGUUGAAUAUUCACUGCAAAACUCAUUUCCAAACUAAAAGUGAUCAGAUAGAGCAUUGUAACCAAAUCAAAGGCAGAGAGUGUACUUCCAGCGUUAAACAGCAUAAGACAUUGUUAUCUCCAUUGGAACAAAUUUAAACAAUAGAAAUGGUUUGCAGCUACAAGGCCAAACUGAUGAUGACAGGGACGCACAAAAUCAUCAAACCAUACUUGCAGGAAAGUCUCUCGAAAUGCUAAGCAUAUCAGAUACCUCUAUUCGAUUAGGAUCUGUCUCAUUUGCAUGUACCCUGAUUUAUGUAAUGGCUUGUAAAUAUAGGUAGCUGAGACACACUUGAUGUAAAACAAAUCUAGCCACUGAAAAUGCAACACACCGG
rnacentral:lncRNA from 1 species